UUGGGCAUCCAAAAUAUGAGGGUGUGGUUUGCUGGCACAGC
rnacentral:rRNA from 1 species